GGACAGGUGGGUGAGCGGUUGAAACCGCCGGUCUCGAAAACCGGUAUGCCCGCAAGGGUAUCGAGGGUUCGAAUCCCUCCCUGUCCGUCA
rnacentral:tRNA from 1 species